rnacentral:tRNA from 1 species
GGGCGGUUAGCUUAACGGAACAAAAGCACAUCGCUUCGAACGAUGGAGAUGCGAGUUCGAUUCCCGCACCGCCCU